CAAAAGUAAUGUAAAAUUCAUAUUUGACUCAACUCAACCAUUUCGUUAACUUGGCCCUAAACAUAUGUAUACACUUCAUGUUUUCAAAAGUUAAGAAUGACCCUUGAGCCAAGAAGCUUUUCCUGCUUUGUGUGGACAGGAAUAUUAAAGGUAUUGAUGUCUGAAACCAACAAGUGUCUUGCAAAGAAAGUAAAAAGAAACAUUGAUGUUGGUCAUCCUCUGAGUGAUGCUGAAGCCUGUUAUCUUAUUGAUCCAUUGGUUCUAUUCAUGGGGAAAAGAAUGUUGUGUGGGAGAAACAUGAUCACGAUUGA